rnacentral:tRNA from 1 species
GCUCAAAGGUAGAGCGAUCGUCUCUAAAACGAUAAGUGCAGGUUCAAUUCCUGC